rnacentral:rRNA from 1 species
GACGUAGGGGGCAAGCGUUGUCCGGAAUCAUUGGGCGUAAAGCGCUCGUAGGUGGAUCGGUAAGUCUGCAAAGAAAGACCCGGGCUCAACGUCGGGGAACAGGUGGUGGAUACUACCGAUCUUGAGGCAAUCAGAGGAUGAUGGAAUUCCCGGUGUAGCGGUGAAAUGCGUAGAUAGUCGGGAGGAACACCAGUGGCGAAGGCGAUCAUCUGGGGUUGUUCUGACACUGAGGAGCGAAAGCUAGGGGAGCAAACGGG